rnacentral:rRNA from 1 species
UGGGGAAUCUUGGACAAUGGGCGAAAGCCUGAUCCAGCCAUGCCGCGUGAGUGACGAAGGUCUUCGGAUUGUAAAGCUCUUUUGGCGGGGACGAUAAUGACGGUACCCGCAGAAUAAGCCCCGGCUAACUUCGUGCCAGCAGCCGCGGUAAUACGAAGGGGGCUAGCGUUGUUCGGAAUUACUGGGCGUAAAGCGCACGUAGGCGGACUCUUAAGUCAGGGGUGAAAUCCCGGGGCUCAACCUCGGAACUGCCUUUGAUACUGUGAGUCUUGAGACCGGAAGAGGUGAGUGGAAGUCCUAGUGUAGAGGUGAAAUUCGUAGAUAUUAGGAAGAACACCAGUGGCGAAGGCGGCUCACUGGUCCGGUUCUGACGCUGAGGUGCGAAAGCGUGGGGAGCAAACA